rnacentral:rRNA from 1 species
UAAGAGAGUUUGAUCCUGGCUCAGGAUGAACGCUGGCGGUAUGCCUUAUACAUGCAAGUCGUACGAGAGUUUUUUAACUCAAGUGGCGGACGGGUGAGUAACACGUAAGAAUUUACCUUUAGGAGGGGGACAACAAUUGGAAACGACUGCUAAUACCCCAUAUGCUUUUUAGUGAAAUGAAAUUUUUUCGCCUAAAGAGAAGCUUGCGGCUGAUUAGCUUGUUGGUAGGGUAAUAGCCUACCAAGGCGACGAUCAGUAUCUGGUUUGAGAGGACGAUCAGACACACUGGAACUGAGACACGGUCCAGACUCCUGCGGGAGGCAGCAGUAGGGAAUCUUCCGCAAUGGGCGAAAGCCUGACGGAGCAAUACCGCGUGAGGGAUGACUGCCUAUGGGUUGUAAACCUCUUUUUUCAGGGAGGAAUAAAUGACGUGUACCUGAAGAAUAAGCAUCGGCUAACUCCGUGCCAGCAGCCG